rnacentral:ncRNA from 1 species
UAGGCGGACAGCAAAUGUUUCGAUGUCCAGCUCGGACAUGAAAAGACAAUCACCAACGUCAUCCCCGCAAUGGCAGGUUCCAACCUGAUCUACGGUA